rnacentral:lncRNA from 1 species
UUAGGUUACCAUGGGAUGUACGUCAAACAUACCGACAACAAAGCAAUACCAUAGCGCCUCUGGCACUAAUUGCAAGAAACUUCAAACUCAUACGCUUCCAGAGGAUAUUGCUUGUAUGGUUGCUCAAGGCCCUUAGGCAAGUCUAGAGCUCCUAAGGGUAUAUAAUAAAUCAGUUUUCUAUCAAGAAAUGAAGUCCAAUAGGGUGGACUUUUCUAUCUCAUUUUUACAUAGUUGUUUGCUGAUGCUUUUUCUAGCUACUUUAUUACAUAAAAUUGGCUUCUGUUUAGUCUUAGGCAGCACCUUUAUUUGAUGUUUUUGUGACUAUUCCAUUAUAUAAUGUUGGCUACAUAGAAUUCAAGUUUACAAUCUUUGCUGUCAUUUUCUCAAAUAAACAUUUGUUCGAUUAAUUUCAAAAGUGCCAUUUAAUAGCAAUGGAUAGCCCUGACUCCCCAUCACACCAUUUUUUGCAGGUAUCGAAAAGAUUGACAGUGAAAACAAGGAGAUGCAUACAGAUUUCAAUCAGUACCAAAUCUUCAUAGCUUCUUCACUCUUUGCAGUUUGAUAAAAAAUGGCUGUCACAUCUCCAUUUUGUCAAAAGAGUCAUUUCUUUGAAAAAGAAAUUUCCAAUAUUAUGAUGAAUUGUAAUGCUACUGUUAUUAUAUAGGUUAGGAAAUGUUAUUAUAUAGGUCGUCUUUGAACUUUAUCACUCUCGUCCUUCUUUACUCCAGAUAGUUCCAAUAUAUUAUCCAUGAAAGCAUGGUUCAAAGUUUCUUUUCAGUUUUCAGUUAAUCAUACCUCAAUGGCUAAGCCUUCCAUGACAUUGCUUGAAUCUUGAUAAGAGAUUUGACAUAUAAGAACGUGAUUACCAAAAGUCAGUCGGAAGAUACUUAGAAUAUAAACCCACUCCACCGUAAGUCCUUCAUAAUAAACACCUUUCUUCAUGCUUAUAACUACAUAAAUUUUCUACUUCCCAGUACAUAAUGGUUGGUCCAAAUUUGACAUUAUGUAACAACAUUGAGAAAGCUAAGAGUUUUAGGAGUUAUAAAGAUUUGCAAUUAUCCAACCAAAAACAGAAGGUGAAGAAGAAUCCACUAGGCUAACGCAUAAAAGCAACCAAUGUAUGCAGGGACUUGGCUGUAUCUUUUGUGUGAAACAAGGAUUCAUCUUCCUUCAUGCGAAUCCACUGCUGGCUUUGAGAUCUGUGCGGGAAGAUGAAUGAUAGAGUUCAAAGCGCUUUGAGAUCUGUGCAGUGGAUGAUCCAACAGCAGAUUCAAGCAAAGGAAGGUGAAUCCUUCUUUCGUGCAAAAGAUACAACACAAAUCCUGCAUCCAGACCCUUUGAAACAGGUUCAUUAUAAGAAAUAUGCCAAGAGAAAAUAUUUCAUUUUUUAGCACUUCGAAAAAAAUCGUAAGAGAGGAGCUUACAUUAACGAACAAGGCACCCAACUGAAAAGAACAGAGGGGACAAAAGGAAUUUUUAAGCCAAUCACAUAUCAAUGGGAUAAGGUUCUUUGCUUGUAGGUAAGAUCAUGGUUUGUAAAGCAUUUCCAAACAGCUAUCACAUUUCAUGCACGCUUGCAGCAACAAUUUGUUGGUAAAAUUUACGAAUAUGCUCUGGCAGUUGUUUGGAGGAAAGAAAAGGGCGGUCUCGUCUUUCUCUGUAUGCUGCAGAAGCAACUGCGGCAAGCAUGCAGCAGCAAUAUGUUGACUUGCUAACUAAUAUAGUAAAACAGGAAAUCUAAGGUUUUAAUAGCACUGCUGAAAAAGAAUCACAAAUAUAUGAUCACUAAUAACACAUACCACACUAUCCUUCUAAGCAUGAAUCAGCACACAAUAACAAUGAUUCAAACGGCAGAUUUGUUAUGAUAUUUGAUUAUUUUCCAUAUGGCAAGAAUUAAGAGAAUAAACUUCAGGGAAUUUCUUCUUCUAAAAAGAAAUAUCAAAACGAAAAAUCAAGACAAUGAGUUCUAAAUGCUAGGUAAAUGAUAUGAAGAUUCAGUUUGAACUAUGAGAUAUCAAAACAAGUUUGGUUAGCGAGGGUCUAAGAUUGCUUAUUGAAAAUAAUCUCAACACUCGAACAAAUGGAUCAAAACAUGCUUGAUACUGUCCAGUGUUACCAUAUGAUAUGUGCAAGGUGCUUCAAGUGUAAUAUAACAGAAUGUUUCACAUCAAAUCUGGAUUUGAUUUGAAAAAGAUUGUGCAAGAAAUAUUUAAGAUAUGCAUCCCAGAAAGUUAUAGUCACAUAAUAUGGAAGCACAGAAAAAUGUGCAAGGCAUGACUUUUAGAUAAGCCCUUAAAUUUCACUUGAAGUAGCCUCUCCAAUAAGCCUCAAGGAAUUGUUUAGGUGUCAUUACACAAGAACAAGACAAGUCUUAGUUAAGGGUUUUCCAAUAGCUUAACAUUAUCCGGAACAAUUUAGAAGCUCAAUUUUCAUAAAAUAAAGAAAAAACAAGACUUUGCUUUCCCGUUAACCGAAAAUGGAUAAAUUUAUUUGGAAAAAAAUUGUACAUAAUCAAUAGAAGAGUCCGGAACAUACAUUCAAUUUUAUCAUCAAUUGGAGCAUUUGGAUGGAAGACCGAGAGAGCACGUGCAAACUCUUCAAAUCCUAGAAUUCCAUUGUGAUUUGUGUCAAACAAGUCAAAUACCUGCAAGGUUUGAAGCAUGUGACCUUUAUAAACAGAUUUGCCACCAAAGCAGCAAAUCACCUGGAUAUUUCUAAAAGUCUGGUUCUAGGAGCUAAUUAAGGAGGCUCAAAGUACAAAAAAGUUUUGUUUUAAAAAAAAAAUUUCAUUAAACACAUUUUUCAUCAUAAGAGCAAAUUAUCUGAAUUUUUUUAUAAUUUCCUGCUUCUACGCAUUAACAAAAGAGGCUAAGUACAAAUUGGCUGUGUCUAGAGGAAAACCCAUAGUCAAGCAUACAUACAAAUUUUGAGUUACUUAUAACCAUGGUUUGCCGUAUCGGUACGUACCGGUCCAGUACCGGAUCAGCGUGGAAUCCAGUACCGGUAGUUUAUUAUUGGAGAAUCGGUAUGGAACCGGUACGGACCCGGUUCGAAUUGGUACGGAACCGGUUCGGACCGGUACGCGACUGGUACGGAAUCGGUUCAUACCGGUCCGGGCCGCCACCGGUACGCCGACCGGUAUCGGUACGGCGGACCUUGCUUAUAACCAUCAUAACCAACAGACUUAUCACACUUGAACUUCUCUAAUUUGUAUGGGUGAAAGUGGAUCGGAUAAUAUCCGUCCGGAUCUAUUUUCGUAUCUGAAUCUAUUUGAAUAUGGAUAGAAAUUUGAGCAUCUGACUAAUAUCCGUAUCUGUAUCCAUAUCCGUCACAACUAUCCGAUCCGUAUCCGAAUAUCCGAUUACAUUUAUAACUCUAUUUGAUUUUAUAUGGCACUCAUGAACUUUAAGAAAAAUAAAUAACCAUAUUAACAUGUUAUUAACUUGAUUUAUCACCUACUUAGUAAUAUCUUUGAUUAUGUGGCAAUAAAAUUUGAUUAUCCGAUUUAUAUCUGUAUUUAUAUCCAUACUUUCGGUAUUCGAUUUGUAUCCAUAUCUGUUUAAAAUAAAUAUAGAUAUGAAUUUUUGCAUCCGACAAACAUCCAUAUCCGUCUCUGUAUUCAUCAAACAAAACAAAUAUGGAUAUGGAUAUGCUAGUAUCCUAUCCGUAUCCGAUCUGAUUUCAACCUUACUAAUUAGCAUGGUUCGCAACACUGAUUUCGGAACCCAUACUAGUACCAUGCUGGUACAAUGCUGAUAUAGGUUGAUUCAUGGUACUAACACUCAGUACAUCCUUAUACUGAGUAUUGGUUCGCUAAUGGUAUGGUACAGUAAUACCGACGAUAUGGUUUGAUAUGGUGACCACAUAACGAAUUUGUAAUACAAAAAAUCGUCAAGUAAAUUAAAUUAUCAAUUCCAUCUUUGUGAAAACCAACCAAACUUUAAAAAAGGAGCUUGAAGAUAUCCCACUAAUGGUAAAAGAAGGAUAGGUGUAAUUGGAAAAAGAAGACCUAGUGUCAGCAAUGCAUAUAAUCGCACUUUUAUAGUUUAUUAACGAAGUUCUUCAUCUAUAUAUUAUAUAUGAAAUAUUAAGGACAAAAACCAUUCGGCAAGUUUGUGCACUUUCCAUCACAAUCAUAGGCAUAACGUAACAAGGGUGGGGAAAAAACAUCUUUCUCAUCUCCAAAGCGAAAACACAACCGGAUGCCUAGUCUUAGGCAGGUUUGUAACCACCAUACUUAGGUUCCAACAACCUAGGUCGUUGCUAUAUAUGGUUAAACCUCCUAGCUUAAACACAAGCUGCCCACCUAGACCUAGGCACGUUAGGUUUAGGACUAUAUUCUGGGGCAAGCCAAGGGCAUUAUGUAGAUCAAGAGUGUGGAUCAUAACAUCUCCUAGCUCUCUUAUUGGAUAUAACACCUUAUCUCAACUUACAGCUUAGAAAUUUUUCUAGGUCUGAGUUAGUUGUUUAUUCCCAACUUUCAAUCGAUUUUUUGUUAAAGAAAAUUGGUAGAGCUGAUUGUUGCAUUAAAUUGGAUUGUUUGAACAUCCUUCGUAAAAAUAAAGAAUUUGUCAUUAUGCUAGUUAACAUGCCAUAAUGUAAAUAAUCUAGUUCUGCAAGUAAAAAUAAAAGUUUUUAUGUUAAUUUACCCUUUUUUAUCUUUUUGUCUGUCUUAUUUCUAAUCUUCUAGUCUAUAUAUCUGUGAAUUUUAAUUUUUUUAAUAUUUUGAUAUAAGCCUUACUGUUUACACAAUCUGUAGCCUUCCACCAAAGUGCUAUGCAGACUCAUGGCCACCACAUACUGGAGCUACCCUGUCGAAAUUAACCAUAACCAUCUACACAAGGCAGCUAUCUUUUAUGACAUUAAAAGGGAACACCAUGUAUGGAAUAGACGCUAAAGAGACAUAUGAUGCCAUAUGCCCGAGGCCACAGCCUAUAAGUCAGAUAUUUAAUAAGGGAAGAGAGUAAAUUCCAGACAUUCAAGAUGAUUCUAUAACCAUUUCUAAAAUGUUCUGAUCAAGCAAUAUCAAUCAUACACUUCAUAUUCUCCUGAUGGGAUCGUUUUUUCUUGAGAGAAAAUGGGCCAGAACCCAAAUAUUCUCUUGACAGUAAUGUACCAUGAAUUUGAAAAAAAAUGAUUUGUACUAGAUAGUUUAUCAACACAGCUAUGAUAACCUAGCUUCAUUUCAUCUCAGUGGUCUAUAAGUUUGCGCAUAAACAUAUUCCUUGAAUCAAGAUUUUAACAGCUAAAAGAUUAACUAAGUUUUAAUUCGCUUCUUUAAAGGAAUGAACAUAUAUAAUGCUUCCAGAAAAGGUUAGUUUCCAUAAGAAAGAUACCCGGUCAGCAAAUAAGCUCUCCUUCUUGUUAGUCUUGAAUAAAGCCAAUUGGAAUUCCUCCUGCAGGAUCAUUAAUAAAACAACUCAACUAAUAGAAAUAUAAAGUACAUCACGAAAGAUGAUAAACUAAGAACCCACACAAAAAGGGGGGAAAAUCUUAACAUGGCCCCAACUUUAAAAGGGCCCAAAUUUCAAUCACUGCCAUGGCAGAAGAAUUUGACAUCACACAUAGCAAUGGUGAAAACAUAUUUUGCAUAAAUUAAUAUUAUAUAAUCACAUCAUAUAAUAUAGACCAAUAGCAGCAGUAUUGUAAGCUUUCGCUCCAUAUAAGAUUAAGCACUAAAUUUUUGAACUACUGAUUCCACAAAAAAUGGAUGCAUAAGCAUUAUUUUAUCUUUGUGUAUCAAAUGAAGUGUCUUACCUUGUUGAUCAGCCCGUCAUCAAUCACAGCACUACUGAUCUUUUUAAAAAGCUCGUAUAAUGCUUCUAUUUCACUUACACUGACUGUAAAUAAAGUAUGCAAGUGGAGUCAAUUUCAUCUGGUUUUGCUCAAUAAAUAGCUGUGUAUAAAAAGCAAAAGACUAUGAUAUUCAAAAAAGAAAACUGUAUAAAGAUCAAACAGCAAAUCUUCCCCCAAGUAAAGCUUUUUUCAGAUUCACUAACAACAGGUGCGAGAUAAGCAAGCAUACAUCCUCCCCAGUAGUCAAUACCAUGAAGAAAUUAGAAGGUAAUAGUUGACAUACACACUGUUUCCCUGGCUAAACGUUCAGGAUCCUGAAGUCCUUUUGUCUGCUUGUACAAAUCAAUAUCACAGCACUUUAACAGUAAAGCAAAUAAAUGCUUGAACGCCUCUAGGCACUGCAACAUGAUAUUCCUUGCUCAUCAACACACUCCAUACCUGCACUUUAAAGAAAUAAGUUAAAACUUCCAAACAAAUUAGAAUUCGAACUACAGCCUUAUUGGGACAACCUUUGAACCAUUUAUGUCUUCUUCCAACCCAAGCCCAAAUGCAAAGGAUCAUAGAAUGUAAAGUGCAGCCCAGAACUCUAUCUGAAAGGUAAAAACUCAAUCAUUGGCUGAGCUAAUUGAAAGAAUCAGAUGCUAUGUAGAAUUGCAAUAACAUGUAUCAUAUACCACAUCUGGAAUGCAUGGAAAAUGAAUAUCAAACUAAUUAUUUUAAGUUUUAAAACUCAAAUGAGCCAGGGAAGUAAUCCUUCAAAAGAAUGAACAAAGAAGGAUCUCAUAGACCAAACUAGAUGAAUUUAAUGCAACACUAAUGUGUUAAAGGAAUCCAUGAGAUGAUUCAGGGAAAAAUCAACUUGUUAAGGUAAUCCGUCUCUGUAGUACACUGAUGCAAAGAUAUUUAGACACAGAAAACUGCACAAUAUGCCUAAAGAGAAGGUGGUGGUCAUAAUUCCAGAGAAUUCUAACAUCAAAACUCAAUUCUUCCCUCACAAGUACCGGUGCACUUUCCAAGUCAAGAUUUUUUUGCCACAAAUGAUUCACGAAAACAUUCUACCUGUUGCAUACCCUCCUCAAUUUCCUUCCGAAUCCGUCAAAAGCUAUUCCGACCUCUUUCUCUACAAACUCAUCAAUCUAUAAGCUCCAGAGAUCAAACAAACUUUGGGGAUUCUACGCCGAAUAUUCAAUCGAACCCUAGAUUACACUGAGACAAUAAACGUGUGAGCCAAAUAUAGGUUCACGACAUUUCCUCACCAAAUAAAAAAUCAAGAAUAUCAUCAGAAAACCGCCCAAAAUUUUAUUUUCCGAUCAAAAUCGAUCAAGCAACGUAAAGACAUGACGCAAGAAUUCAAAUCCAAGAUAAAUCUAGCUACCAAAAAAAAAUCCAAGGUAAAUCUACGACUCUUCUCAACUCCGAUCUCCCCGAUGAGAGAGGAACCACCGCUCAAUCAGGACGAACCAGGGUACCAGGGAAUCCAAGAAACAAGGGGAAGGGGGGAGAGAGAGAGAGAGAGAGAUUACCAGUAGGAGAGAAGGAUCCUUGGGACAAAGGAGGAGCCGAGAUUCUCCAUCUAUGCCUUCGAAUCGCCCCGAAGCAAACUUCUUUACCUAUUUAUGUUUUUUUUCGGGUUUUGUUUAUUUUUGCGUGUUUUCUAUUUUGAGUAUUGAUUGGCUCGUGAUGAGUGGGAUAAAUAGCAGUUGCCGUCAAGGUGAACUGGCAGCUGAGAAUAUUUUAAAAUAUUUGAAACGAAAAAGUUUGGAUCUGGUCACCGCCUCGGUGGCCUAAGCUUCAUCACCUAACCCAGCGAAACCGAAACAGGCGGGCCAUCUUUGGACCCGCACAGGUCCAGUGCACCAAGGCCCGGCCCGUCUAAAGAACCUCGCAUAAAAGUUCCAUGAUCUAAUGCCGUUAGAAGGUAUCAUAGUUGGUCUUAACACGAAUUACACGUAUCAUAUCCAAAUUUGUUAAUAUUCAGAAAAAUAUUUUACUCAACAUCCUUUGCGAAUCAUUCACUAAAAUUUGCAAAAAUUUCAAAUUGAUGUGAAAGGACACGUAUAAAACGUUUUAUACAUUGUAUAUAUGUAUGAAAAUGAGAAGAGUUUUGGAGGAGGGAUUCGAAGUCAUAUAUUCAUGAUUGCAUCACAGGGAAUUAGUCGGCUUAGAAGCCACUUAUAUUUCUUAAGAGUGGCAAUUGAUUUAGAUCCGGUUAGAUAUGGAUCGAGUUGGAUACUAGUUGGAUCAAAAAUUUAUCAAUUUGAACUUAACUUGUUUAUUAAAUAGGUCAGAAAUUCUGAUCUGAGUUCGAUCUAUUUAUUGAACGGGUUACCUAACUUGACCCACAUGGUCUGCUUAUUAAAUAGCUUAAACAUGAUAGAAAUGAAUUAAGAAGAUUUUAAAUAGAUCUUAGGUAGGUUAAAUCGGUCGGGUUAUGACCCGACUCAAUUAUUAAAUUAGUCGAAGAUCAAAAUCUAAACCCAAUUCAUUUAAUAUAAAUUUAGACAAAUUAAUCUGUUUUUGGCCCAAACUUAUUUACGUGAAAUCCGAACUUAAAAUAUUUGCUGGUCGAAUUGAUGGAGGAUUUGUUCGUAAGUUACCACCCUCAAUAUUUUUUAUAUAUUAAAUAGGGUCAAAUAAAAUAACAUAAUAGAUUUGAUUUUAAAAGAACAAAAGAUCUCUUUUGAUUUUAAUAGAGAUAUAGAUUUAUAAGCAUGUCCUUCCUGGCUUCAGCCAUCCAAACGGUAUACAACAUUUGCAAUUAAUAUUUUUCCGUAGGAACCAGAAAUCCCACAGUAUUGAGAUCAAUACCACCCUUUCCAAGAACAACCUUAAUCUUUCUCUUCAUUAUUUUCUACUGACGGAGCAAAACUUGAUGGUGACUGACAAUUCAGCAAUUUUCAGCAAUAAAUAAAUUCUGCCGAUGGCAAAUUGAAGAAAAACAGCUUGCAACUACUGCAUGGCAAAAUGAUCAUAAAACAGGAUUUUGAUAUGAUCUACACUGUAGUCAUUAGAUGAUUGGAUUUCAGAGGGCAACAGAAAAUUAUCUCCCUUACCUUUUAGUCAAAAAUAAACUGCAAAAGCUCAUAAACAUCAAUUCUUAGAAGCAUAGAUGGGCUACUGUAGAACCCAUUCUUGAGCAACGGGUCAGAUCAUGUCGCUCCUCAUUAACCUUUCGAUGUCUCAUUUGUUUGCUCUGCUGUGAAGACCUUUACAGCUCCAGAUCACUGAAUUCCAGGAUACAUAAGUAUUUCAGGAUUGAGUACCAACACUCAAUCCUGGCAAUUGAGGCAUCUAACCAUAUCCAAAAUAAAAUAUAGAACAAGAAAUACAUAUAUAAUUUGGAAGGCAAGACUUCUUGCAGCAUGCACAACAGCAAACUAACCCAUUAGAGAACAAAUAUGCAUGUUCUAAUUUUCAGUUCAAAAU